rnacentral:lncRNA from 1 species
AACAUUUGGAGUCGCAUAAAUCUUUUUCUUAAACCAUGGUAAGAAGGUUUUGACAUGUUCAUUAAGCUGCCAUUUUUCACUCAUUCUUGGGUGUAUUGCCUUUAUUUCAUUAACGUGUUCAGAAAUGUAAGGAAUAACAUCAUCAGUGUUGUUUAAGAUGUACAAAUGAGCUUGAUCAACUUCUUCUCUACUCACACGUUGAAUCCUCACACCACGACCCUUACCUUCACAUCUUCC